UUAAACAUUUCUGAUAACAUUUAGCAUUAAAAAGACUACACAGUAAGUUCAUGCAAUUGAUUUCUUGUGUGAAAAGUGGCGAUGUAGAACACAAAAUGCUACAGUAUCCAGUAAAUUACAAAAAAGUUGCUGGUAGAUGUUACACUUAAUGAUGCUUAUUUGUCCUAAAACUUGAUGUUUAUGCAUGCUUCUGCACCUGUAAAUUGAAGUGAAUAAAUAUUUAAAGUAUUUAAGAGGAUUACUCAUUUAAAUUGAAAAUAGCUUGAGACUUUUUUUGAUACAAAAAAGCUAUAAUACAAUUAUAUUACAUCCUGAAAAUACAGAGAAAAACAAUAAAAAAUGCCAACAACAUUUUGGUCAAACAGCCUAAUGUGUUACUAAAAAUCAUGCAGGUCUUAAGCUGACAAAGAAUAGUAAAAAAUAUCCUACUUAUCAGAUGAUAGCAAUAAACUAACUUUCUGGAAAGAAGCGAGUGUUUUAGUACCUGUUCUCACCUAAAUAGAAACCAAGGGCACUCCAAUCAGAUUUCAGCUGGUCUCAAGCCUGUUAUUUAUAAAUAGUAACUCAUGAUAGACUUUUCAUCUCCUUUUUCUGCCCUUGAUAUUAAUAAAUGUUAUGACAAUAUUCUGAAGAAAGAGGGAUCUGACGUAUUUGCAGUUUCUUGACAGCUUAGAUCAGAUCAGAUGUAAGACGAAAAGUCAAUGUCAAAAUCAGUGUGAUGUUAAAACGUAAGAAAAAAUUUUUGGCACUGCCAUAACGCUUCAAAAUUCUAGAGCUUGAGAAUGCUAUGUUUUCAGCUCUAGCACCAUGGAUACACAAAGGCAGUCACCCAAACAUGUUACUGCAGAGUCCGUUAAUUUUCCAACUGGCAAAUGAUGUAAUUUUCAGUCCUUACAGGUGUCACAAGACAGGAUUAGACACUGGGAUGUAUUCAGCAAAACCAAAAAGAAACUCAGAAAUACUCUGAGUCCCAGAUGCACAGGAUCUAGGUACCUGGCAGACACAUUCGUUGUGAAGGAAACACAUUCAUUAACAAACGUCAAUGGUGUUGUUCCAGUGAUGUCUUCCCAUUGGG